CAAUUUGAAUGAUUUUGGUAAACAUCCGACAAUAAAAUUUGCCUCUUAAAUACCCAUAGAGCACAACGGCAACGUUGCACCAAUUUAUUGGUCAAAAAAGUGGGGCCCGCAUUAAAUUCCAGCCGGUUCAUAUCUCCCACUUUUUUUAUUUCGCAUUCGCCUGACAGAGACGGAACGUGUUCUCGGAACCGCUGAAAAUAUUCGGGUUAUUGAACGGUCGAAAUAUCCGCAGCCUUCCAAGGACGUCGCCGUCGUCUAAAGAAAUUGCGGAGAUCCGAUUUCCCCAGCCAGACCCUGGGACCGUGAAAGCCCCCCCCGGCCAGACGACCGACUGCAUUAAAGUUGUUUUUUAUUUUCUUGAAAAAUCGACUGUUGCUUUGGUUCAGCUGCGGCUGCUCUAAGUGUGUGUCUGUGUGUGUGUGAUUCAUUCUGUUUACAGGAGACAAAAGAGCGAAAAUCUGCAGGAGAGACCGUAGGAAUUUAGGUCGUUUUUCGAAUUGUUGCCUGGUGUAUCAUGGCGAGCGAAUCUAACGGGAAAAUCAUUCGUGGGAACGGCGGCGAUAAUAAUGGGAAAAAAUCAGUUACGAACUUGUUUCCGAAACAGGGAGAAUGUUCCUAUGUUUCCUGUUAUUGUGAAGAAAAUGUAUAUAAACUAGCAGAAGAUGUGGCUAAAAAAUACCCAAAUGAACUCAGCAAGUGUUUUGUAGUGAUCAUAUCCAACCAAAGCAGAACAGUUCCGUUGUGGAAACAAAGAGCUGGUAAAGAUGAGGAUAAACUAAUCAUUUGGGACUACCAUGGGAUUUUUUUGUACCACCCAGAACCCGACAAGUGCUUGGUUUACGACUUGGAUUCCGAAUUACCGUUUCCUACAUACGUACACAAAUAUGUCACUGAAACUUUUAGGACCGAUCAUAUAUUGAAACCUGACUAUUUCAGGUAUUUUCGAGUGGUUCCGGCAAACGAGUUCCUUAAAGAAUUCGCUUCCGAUAGACGUCAUAUGAAACGACCCGAUGGGACAUGGAUUAAACCACCACCAACAUAUCCGGCUAUUAGCAGUGCAAGUAAGAAUUAUUAUUGUUUUUUAUUGUACGUAUUUUUAAAAGUUUCUUUUUACAUAGACUCCGAACAUAAUUUAGAAGACUAUAUCCAAAUGGACCACGAUAAAGGACCCGGGCAAGUCCUUAAUUUAACGCAAUUCGUUCAGAGAUUCUACAAACCAGCCACGUAAUUUCAAUAAAAUGAGAAAAAUCUUGUUGAAUUCGCCAUAAAAUUGCGUUAGUGAUGGUACCUGGCUAGUGGAAAUACAUUCACCGAUAUGGCCUACACCUACCAACUAGGUAUAAAGACAAUAAGCAGAAUAGUGACUCAAGAAUGUGACCAAAUGUGGAUUAUUUUAAGUGGUGAAUACUUAGCAACUCCCACUAUUGAGCGGUGGUUAUUAAUAGCAGAAGGAUUUAAACAAAAGGCUAAUUUCCCAAACUGCAUCGGUUCUGUCGAUGGAAAGCCUAUUCGAAUUGAAAAUUUCCCUAAAUCUGCACAAUGCAUAAUGAACUUUAUUUAUAAAGGAUAUUUUUCAAUUGUACUUCUAGCAGUAGUUGAUUCCGAUUACAGAUUCGUGUAUGUUGAUAUCGGUUCCUAUGGUAAAGACUGUGACUCCGCAAUUUUUCAGCGCACACAUUUUUAUCAACUACUCACUGUAGGCAGCUUGAAUAUACCUCCACCUGUUUUACUGCACCCGUCUCAGAAUUGAAGAAUGCCACAUGUUUCAGUAGGUGAUGAAGCUUUUUAGCUCACCGAACAUUUAUUAUGUCCUUUUGGCGGUAACCAUCUACACGUAAAAAAACGGAUAUAUAACUAUCGACAUUGUCGUGCACGAAGAUACGUGGAAUGUGCAUUCGGCAUGAUGGCCAACAAAUGGCGAAUAUUUCAUCGUUCUUUAAAUGUGGGAAAAAAACUUUGCAAAUCCAUAGUUAAGGCAUGCAUCGUGUUACAUAAUAUUGUUCGUGAAUUACCUAGGGCAGGAAAUAUACAGCACGGUGGGCGUAUCGCAAAUGACAUAAGAAAUACCUUUUCUGAAUAUUUUGUUAGCCCAGAAAGCUCUUUGCCUUGGCAGAUGAAUAAGAUCUAAACUUGUAGCAUAAAUAAUAAAACUAACUUGUACUUACUAA
rnacentral:misc_RNA from 1 species